GCAAAGCAGCGCAAAACGCCUAAUCCUAAAUAUAUUUCGGCACACCAUUCCUACUACUUUUCUUCUACAAUUCUUAAGCAAACAUCAGAGCAACAGGGAAUCCUUUCCCGUGCUCGGCCAAGCCUGGUGCCUACUACAACAAAAAAUCUGUUCAUUAUCUAUUGAAAUAUUACGGAUCUGGCCUAUUGGAAGAUGCAAGGUUGUUUUUUUUCCCCUGUUAAUAUACUAAGUUCCUGUUCUAAUUUCUCAAUACAGUCUUUCACUAGCUGAUUUUCAUUUUCUAAAGUAUCAGCUCUUAUUUCAGUUUAGUUUAAGGCAUUCAGCAGUGGCCAUGCCACUGUAGAGGCAGCUAACUGCCACUCUUUUGUAAUUAAUAUAUCUUUAUCUAAACCUUGAAAAUAUUCCACCAUGCAGAAUGGGGAAAUAUUCCCCAUAACUCACAGAGGACCCCAUUUUUCAAUGAUUGGAAGAUCCCAGAAAUCCUGGAAUCUGCCCAGGAACCAUUUUAUCUAGGAGGGUAGUGUUCUCCCCCUGACCCGUUUAUAAGGGUAAGACAUUAUGGUUUUAGUAUAUAUAUUUGGCCUGCCUGGCUUACCAAGUGUAGGGUCAGUAAGCAUACAGAUUGAAGGCUAGAGAAAUUAUCGUGUUAGAAAGGAAUAAUUAGGGAUGAAUGGAAAGGUUAUGCAUGUCCUGGGCUCACCAAAGACUCCAAAAGGAGCAAUCUCCAGAGAGACAUCCUUCCUCAGUGGAAGUCAGCCCUUAAAUGGGGUCUAAGAGAAGUGGAGCCUGGCUCCACCCCUUCUGAUUACACAGGUGGAGUUGCCUUCACCUGUGCCCCCAUGGCUGACUCUGUGCUUGCCUCAGGUGGUCAGUCAGAGGUUCAGGCUGUGAUUCAACAGUUCCCAUACAGAAACUAUUUUCAAAAUAAUACUUCAGGUGAAAGCUAAGAGAUUCUCUUCUGCAGAAAGUUGCUGCUUUCUUCCAGAAGCAGCAUUUCAGCUGAGCUUCUUGCUUCACCUGGAAAUACUUGAAAGGAAAAAUUAUCCUUAUACAGUUUGGCUCUGACCCUGAAAAAUAUUAACGUGACAACCAUAACUUCCUGUAUGUGCAACAAUAGGGACUAACAACACCUGUGAUCUAGCUGUUUCCACACAAAGGUGUAACAGCCUGCCUGGCUCUGCAAAUUUGCAGAAUUACUGGCACGACUACCAGAGGGACAGGUCACCUACUGAAGUCUACUUUGCUAUUUCUAUGUAUGUGUUUUUUAGUCCUUCCAUAAGGUAUGUUUGUGUUUCUGCAGAGCAUAUGACUUUACUGCACUAGUAAAAGCAGAUGGAGGAAGGAGAGCUCUGUGUUCCCUUGUAGCUGUGUUUCCCAAAGCUCUGCAGCCUGCUGUUGAGAAAGCCAGCUUGGUUGCUGUUGCCUGUUUAUAAAACUCUCUGACUUGGCCCUCAUCUCUCCUAUCAUGACUGUAUCAAACGUCCCUUUGGUGGCCUGCUAUCUGCUGAGUGAUGCUCGCAUCCCACAGUUCCUGCCUAAGGCACUGACACCCACUGUCAUAACAGAAACAGUGGUCAGCCUGGUGAGUAAGUGGAGAUUUCUGAAUUUGGGUUUAGGUAUCACACACUUGCAAAGGCAUGAUUUCAACCACAGAGCAUCUCCAACACAGUGAAAUGCAAGGUGAGAACACAGACUGGAUUUUCAACAGAAAAUUUUCAUUAGGUGCAGAUUUGCUCAGCUGCUUUGUGAUUUACCACCAGCACAGCAUAUCCUCAGACCCUACCAUGCAGCAUCUUUAAACCUACAGCAAAACAGAAGAUUCUAUUAAAGGGAAAUACUAAGGUCAAUCACCAAAAAAACGUGUAAAUACCCGAAAGCUACAUGUUUGAGAUCAUUUCUUUAAAAACAAUAUACGAUUUUGUGGAGAAUGCGCAGUUAUGAAAGAUUACAGUAGUGAAAACAAGGUGGAUUUUAUCACAGCAGAAAACCACACCAUGGCAUAGGCAGAAGUGAAUUUAGCCCUUCAAGAUCAAGUGUGAUCUUUGGCCAAAUUAUUAUAUUUAACCUCACUGUGAAAAAGAUGUCCUAAAUUAUGAAGACCCUGCUCUGCCCUUGAAUAAGCACAUCAGACACAGACCUCAGUGGGAGGAGUACCGGCUGCUUUUAUGGUCAGGAUUCAGUCGAGAGAAUUAAGCCUUUCUGAAGCAAAACUAAAUUGCAACAGCAAGUGUUGUACUGUCAUUUUAAUGACAGCAGAAGUCUGUAAGUAUGGAAUGAAUCAAUUAUUGCAAGCACAGCCCCUGUGUAAAUCACUGACGGCAAACCAACCCCAGGAUUAUAAAAUGAAUCUGUGACAAGUAUUCAAGGUUUCAGCAUAUUCUCGGUAAUGAGGAUUAAGUACAUACUAUCUGUGAAAGAAAAGUUUUAUUCACUUACUAAAGAAUAUGUGAGUAAUCAUUAAGUGAGGUCAGAUUAACUGAGGUACUUUUUUAAAAAGGGCAUCCAGUACAACAUCUGCUGGAAAAUCAAUGAUAAAUAUGUCAAUUUUUUAGAAAAAGGGAAAGAUUAAGAGUAAAGCAGUGUAAUGGAAUGACUUAAUGCUCUGUUUUUAAAGAAUGGAGAGGAAUUAUAAUGACAUCAUAAACUAUCAUUAUGAAACUUUUUGACAUUUUCAUGUCAAGAAAAAGACUAUUCCCGAAGCAAGAACAAAUAGUGAUUUCUGCUGUCUAUGGGUGAUUCAGUCAAGUUCAAAUAAAUCCUGAUUCUACACUGAGAAAUCAUGAAAAAACUUUUGCACUGUGCCGGCAAACAUUGAAUUUUCUUGUAUUUAAUAUUUUUACAUAAGGACAGGAAUAGAAUACAAAAUUCUAAUUAUAGUUGAGCUGUGAAAAUGGAAAUGUUUUUAAUUUGAAUGUAUGCCACUAACUUCUGGGGAAGCCUUUAUGGUAAAUAUUUCAUAUCACUCUGCUCUCUUUACCAUAACACAAGCAAUAUCUUAUUGUCUUUUUUUUGUUCUGUUCAAUUUCCACAAAAUAAUGUGAAAUUGAGAAGCAGCGUUAUUGUAAUUGUAGACCAACAUCAUUUCAUGAUAGAAAAAGGCAUUGUGUUCUAUCAUCAUUUGUAUUUUAAUUAUUAAUGAACACCUUUGCUUUAACUGUCAGAAUUUUUUAUUAAUGUCUUGUGAUAUUUGCAUACUCUUUGCCUGUAUUUCAGGGGAGAAUGUAGAGCAAAAUAUGUAUUUAUUUCUAGUAUAUUAAUAGGCUUUCACCUGGAAGGUUUUUCUUUUGAAGGCUUUAACAAUUGAUAUCACACUGAUCAAGAGGUGCUUUAUUUACACUGGGAUAAGGGGAUAAAAAAUAAAUGCAAUACUGCUACACUUCAUCAUUAGAAAUCCCCCUAAAUAUCCAGAUUCUGUAAAAUAAUAGAGUAACUUUAGUUGAAAAGAAAAAGAAAUUUCAGUUGCUUGUAAGAAAAUGAUGUGCUUUUUCAUAUGAACUGCUUUAUUUCUCUUGCUUUGUUUUUACUAAAACUGUGUUUCUUUUAUUUGUGAUUGUGUAUGUUUCUUCCUAUUUAUGCCGUGCAUUUUUGGCCCAGUACAGAUCACAGUUCAGUAUUUUCAUUCUGCCCUGAACAGUCAAUUCCUACAAAUUAAUCCAAUAUGCCUAAUUUUUGCAAAGUAUUACCUGGUUUGUUAAAGGAAAAUUUUCUACAAUAGGAUUGAGAAUGUUAAUAAUUCUAAUAGGAAAAACACUAUUGUAUAAUUUUGCAAUAACCAUAUUUUAAUUAAAUCAGACAUUAGUAAGUACAUUUGUAAGCUGUGACAUUUAAAUAAAAUAUGCUUAUACUAGAAAGGAAAACUAUGAAAUACUUACAUCUUCCGUCAAUGUAAAAAUAUGAGGAUGAGCAUUUUAGUUAGGAAAAUAUCUGCAUAUAUAUCUUCUGUAAUUAUUUUUAUUUUUGUUUCUCUUAGAUGCCAAAUACAGUUGAACUACUGAAUUCAAACAUCUUGCUGCUUCUCUCUUAUCAGGAGUUAUCAUAUUCCCUUUGUAUACUUCAGCAGAGCCUUUUUAAAAUUCCCCUUUUCAUUAUUUUGAGGUUCAAAUUGCUGGCUAUAAUUUACAAAAAGGAGGUUUCUCAGUAACUGCUUGCAUAUAGUUUACAAAUUAUUUUAAGGAGUUACAGUGCAUACUUAGAAAGAAGCAUGAAGUGCUAUAUUUAAAGGGCUUACCAGUGUUUUGCAGAAAAGAAAACAGAAGAGAUUCAUGAAAAUGCAUAAGCAUAAACAUUUGUUUCCAUUGUGCAGGCGGAAUGGAGUUUUGCAGUAAAAGUGUGGCAUCUGGUGGUCCAGAGAAGAAAUGGCAGCCCACUCUGAGAAGGCCGAACCAUCUCAUCAGCUUGUAAUAAACUAAUUAUUUCCAGUGUGCAUGUAUGGGAAGAUUCUGGCUUCUGGAUAACCCUGCAGUAUUAAUUGCUGCAUCUUGUUUUGUGUCAUUCCAGCAGAAGGCCUGUAUUUCUUCCCAAAGAGAGAAAUAUUUUCAUUUAUUCAGAACUGUAAUGAGUUUUCAACUUCAGAUGAUGACUCUUGUAACCACCAACAGCAGAUGGGGAAUACCAUUCCCAAAAAGCAGUGCUGGGACAUCUGAAAAUGAAUUAGGAGAAUUUUAGGAUAGCAAAACUCAAGUAUAGUGUGCUAAGAAAGGGGAAUUUCUUCUGUCCUGUGGUGAACCACAUGAAUAUGUCUCCUCACAACUAAAUUCAUGAGAAACCAUUCCUUCUCAACUUGCUUGAAGAGCUGUGAGUUGUCAGAGGUCAUGAAACUCCAUGUGGAGAAGGAGCACAGAAGAAGGGACCUUCAGAAAUCCCAAGUCCAUUACAUGAUUUAGUUGCAGUCGUUAUAUAAUAGUUUUCAACCAGUGAUAAAAUUCCUCUUCUAAACAAUGAAGUUGUUUGUUUGUUUGUUUGUUUGUUUGUUUGUUUUUGUUCAAAAGACUGCUCCCAAGCAAAAUUUCUUUACAGAAUUAUCUGCUAAGUUUCUGAGGUAUCUUGAGGUUAAACAAUAAUCCACCUCUUACUCACAUACCAAAUAUACACUUAUAUUUAAUGAUGAUGACUAUCUCUUUUAGUCUUCUGUCUCCAGAUUGUCCAUUCUCACGAUCACCUUGUUAACGCCUCCCCAGACAAGUUUACUUUUCAGUUAUCUUUUGUGAAAGGGGCUAGCCAAAAUUUCAUAGUAUUCCACAUGAGAUCUAUUCAGAGCUACCACUAAUGGUAUGAAUUCCCUAUCUUUGUGGAAAAUACUUCACAUUUUGUUGCCUUUUAUUUUCCACGGCUGCAACUUGGACAAGUUUACAGAAGUGCUUAGCAAAUGGUAUCCCAGGUCACAUCUUCAUCUCAAAAUGUUCAGAGAAGCUCUGUAAUUAUCUCCCUCCAAACUAGUGACUCCUCUUGAACACUACCUGGUAUCACCACUCUUCAUCAAUUCCUUCACCUGUCUUACAGUUUCCCUACUAACAUCAUUCUUCUUUAGUCUAUUAUUAUUUCCUGUCCAUCAGACUGGAUGCCUUAUUGAAGUUUAGAAGGAUCGUAUCUCCAGAAUUUCCUUUGUCUUGAAAUAAAAGACAAGUAAAAGAGGGUGUCUGAUGCUGAAUUGUGCAUGUAGAGAGCAGAAUGAAUUCUCAAGGUCUGAUUUGUGGAUUCUGAAUUGCAAAGUUCAGCGAUCCUUGCACUUGGCAAGCACCUGGAAUUGAAGCAUGUGCAACCAAGCUCUGUAUGUAAUUCUGUAAAAUGAGAGCUGUUUAUCUCAGCGGCUGAAAUAUUCAUUAUUGAAAAUAAGCAUUUCAGUGUUCAGAGGCGGAAUCGUGGGCUGAGAAUAAAAACGACCUGGGAAAUAGUAAAAAACUCCAUGUCUCUAAACGGCGUAGGGUAUGACCCUGCAGAAGGGCGAUGGGAGAACUCCUUCCGCCUUGGAGCUGCCUUCUGACUCUGUCUCAUCGUUUCAGCUUGGCUGCUAUUGGUGGUGGCAGAAAAAUACCGGAAGAAAUUUACAACAGUUUUGGCUGAAAGAGAGGAGGAUGAUUGAGAAAAGGGAUGAAAUUGGAAAACACCAACCUUUGCAUCUUUUCCAGAAUGUUCUAGUAACUGGCAGGCAAUAUGGGCUUUGUGUUAAAAAAGGAGCCUAUUACCACCUCUACUGAGAAAGCACCUGCCAUUUGGCCACGUUUUAUGCCUGAGAAAUCACCCCACUUCAGUGUAGCAGCGAAAUGCUCUCAGAUUCUUUCCUUGCUUUGCUUUCUUUUUGCACUCAGACUUUGCAGGCUGCACACAGUAUUCUCAAAGGGCAGUGGAACUGGCUCCCUCAAGCCCAGGCCCCAGUAAAUGAAUUUGGGGUCACUUGGGAACUUGCUUGUCCUGUAUUUCGGUGGCUAUUUCCUGGCACUGAUUCAGCAGGUUAAGAGCCAGUUUGAAAUGCUGAAGGAACAAAAAGCAGAAAAUGGAUAUGGGGGGGAAAUUUAGAUGGGGACAAGCAUAUAGUGGAAGUUUUCCACUUUAGAUUAGAUUAUUAUGAUUAUGAUCGUUAUUAUUAUUAUUAUUAUUUAAGGAUAGAAGGCAAAGUAAAGGCAACAGGAACAAACCAUGAAGGAAAAGCAGAUAUUCAGAGGAAAGGCUGGGGCAAAGGAUAGUGUGUGAGCUGCCUGCCCCUGGCAGUGGUGCUGGGAUUGUUUGAGCUGGUGUGGUAAAAGGAGUCUGUUCUCUUUAAAAUGCUAGCCUCAGAAGCAAAGCCAAACAGCUAUUGUACCAUCCUCUGCAGUAACAUUUUGAUGUGCAAUCUCCACAUUGAUAUGAUUAGUUGUUAAGUCAAAUAAGAGACAGCGUGACAGAAAUGUUAUUUAACUGAUUUGCCAAACUGAAUAAAGUAUAGUCUGGUCUUGUUUACAGUCAAAAUGGGAAAGUGUUUACCAGGAUAUCCAGGGGUCUCCAACAAGAGAAAAAAACAGAUCCAAAGUAAACACUUUCCAUUGCUGCCUUAGAGAAUGGUUCCCAUCUCUGGUUCUGCUAUAACAUUUCUGCUACUGCUGAACAAAGUCCUUAAAUCCGGCUUCUUCCCUAUGGUUGCUUGCUGGGAACAGAACAACCAAUCGAUCAUAGCCACUGCCAAAAUCAGCAGGGAUGUGCUUCAGAGCUACGAUGCAUUACUUGGUACUGCAUACACAAAACGAAUCAGGGCCUUAGUAUCUAAAUUAAAUCCCUCUGUGCCUUAUUUCCCCUUCCACUAAAUGAGGAUAUAACAACCUCACUACACCAUGAACAUGUGAAGAUAAACUAAUCCAGGUUUGUAAAGUCAAAUUUAAGUUGUGUGUACUCACAGCAAGGGGCCAUACUCUGAAAACUGAGGAUAAAAGGAAUGUUAAGCAGAUGCUUUUUAAAUGAGUAUUGUGCAGCCUGUGCAGUCAGAGAAACAGAUGUCUUGUAGAAAUACGGCUCAUAAUCAUGUAACUUCAGUUGUUACUGAGUGUGGGUGGGAGAAGGGAACUACCUUACCCAAGCUCUGAACACUGGAACGUACAUCCCUACAGACAUUACUUUUUAGGCAUGUUUGGGAUAUUGUCUGAGCAUCCUGAAGAUGAGCAGAAAAUAAAUUUUGAUAAAGAACUUACACCUCCUUUCAAAAACUAAUAGCAACACUAUAAAAAUUGCAAACUUUGGCCUCAACACUGACCUUGUAUUCCUGUCUUGUCAGGUCCAGAAACACUGGCAUUUCCUCAAUGUAGACAUGAAUGACUGUGGUUGUCAUAAAUACUUUGGCAACCCAAGGAGCAGGACUGCCUGCAUAAUUCUGUAUAUUUGCAACACUAGUAGCUCUUCUGUGGAAAACAAGGAACUUCA
ensembl:lncRNA